GUUCGCAUCACUUUUUGCUUUUGAUCUUGCCAAAAAUGGUGACUUCAUGGUACAAGAACCACUUUCUCUCGAUCUGGGAACGAGGAUUUGAAUUUCGAAAUUAAGGUGAAUCUUGAUUUUGCUCCCAAUUUCUCUUCAGAAAUUACACUUUGUCCUCGCUCUUUCCACCUAAAGUGUAGCCCUAAUUCUUUUGCUAUAUAAGAUCUCUUCAUGAUGGC
rnacentral:misc_RNA from 1 species